AUACGGAGGGUGCGAGCGUUAAUCGGGAUUACUGGGCGUAAAGCGUACGUAGGCGGUUGGUUAAGUUAGAUGUGAAAGCCCCGGGCUUAACCUGGGAACUGCAUUUAAAACUGGCGAACUAGAGUUGAGUAGAGGGGAGUGGAAUUUCAGGUGUAGCGGUGAAAUGCGUAGAGAUCUGAAGGAACACCAGUGGCGAAGGCGACUCCCUGGACUCAAACUGACGCUGAGGUACGAAAGCGUGGGUAGCAAACGGGAUUAGAAACCCUAGUAGUCC
rnacentral:rRNA from 1 species